UACGUAGGGGGCUAGCGUUGUCCGGAAUCAUUGGGCGUAAAUAGCGUGUAGGCGGCCCGGUAAGUCCGCUGUAAAAGUCAAAGGCUCAACCUUUGAAUGUCAGUGGAUACUGCCGGGCUAGAGUCCGGAAGAGGCGAGUGGAACUCCUGGUGUAGCGGUGGAAUGCGCAGAUAUCAGGAAGAACACCAACGGCGAAGGCAGCUCGCUGGGACGGUACUGACGCUGAGACGCGAAAGCGUGGGGAGCGAACAGG
rnacentral:rRNA from 1 species